AUUAGCUCAGUUGGUAGAGCAUCUGACUUUUAAUCAGAGGGUCAGUGGUUCGAGCCCACUA
rnacentral:tRNA from 3 species